rnacentral:rRNA from 1 species
CAGUCGCCGCGGUAAUACGGAGGGGGCUAGCGUUGUUCGGAAUUACUGGGCGUAAAGCGCACGUAGGCGGCUUUGUAAGUUAGAGGUGAAAGCCCGGAGCUCAACUCCGGAAUUGCCUUUAAGACUGCAGAGCUAGCAGGUGAGAGAGGUAAGUGGAAUUCCGAGUGUAGAGGUGAAAUUCGUAGAUAUUCGGAAGAACACCAGUGGCGAAGGCGGCUUACUGGCUCAUACUGGACGCUGAGGUGCGAAAGCGUGGGGAGCAAACAGGAUUAGAUACCCCCGUAGUCCCUGUCUCUUAUAC